rnacentral:rRNA from 1 species
AUGGCUCCAAUCCGACGCGCCGCGCAGCGGCCGGACUUCGCGUCCCACCCUUCUGACCUCGAGCUCAUCAGCACGUACCUCAUCCCCUGGGUCAGCACCGGCGAGCGCCCCUGGAAGUUCGUCCACGAGGCCGAUGUCUACGCCGCCACGCCGCAGGACCUCGCCCGCGCCUACGCCCCGGCCACGGCCAGCGACGGCCAGGAGAGCUGGUACUUCUUCACGUCCCUGCGGGCCAAGAGCCGCCGCGGCCAGCGCAAGGCCCGCACCGUCGGAUCCGGGGACCACGGCUGCUGGCACUCGGAGCGCGCCGCCAAGCCCCUCUUCGCCGGCAUCGGCCACAGCCGCCAGAUCGGGUACCGCCAGGCCUUCUCCUUCGCGACCAAGGAGGACGGCCGCCUGGUCCGCUCGGGGUGGCUCAUGGCCGAGAUCGGCCUCAACCCCGACGCCUCCGCGGAGGAGGAGCUCGUCCUCUGCAAGGUGUAUCGGAGCCCGCGCGUCGGGACAGGCCAGAGAUCUACGGCGCCGGCCGCUACCGGAGUUGGACCCGUCAGGAUUGGAAGGGGAAAGGCGAGCGAGGAGGACUCUACCUCGUCUGAAGAGGGGACGCCAAGGGCUGCUGGGCCCGGCUGCUAUUCGGCCCAGCAGCCCGCUCGAGUCUCCGCGUCCACUUCAGGUACCCUGUCCAUGGAGGAGUCCGACUCCGAGCAGGGUUCGACCAGCCGAGGCGGCGGAGUGAUUGGCACGUCGCCGUCCGCCACUCCGCCUCGGGUUCCCCGUUCCAAGGCCCUUCGAGCUGCUCAGCUUCCCCGGAUCCCGACGGUUCCCGCGGCGCAGCGCCCGGACUUCGCUUCUCACCCUUCGGACCAAGUGCUGAUCAAGUCCUACCUCACCCCGCGUGUCGCCUCCGGCCAACACCCGUGCCAGUUCACGCACGAUGUCGACGUCUACACCGCCAGCCCGGGCGCCCUCACCAGGAAGUACUCCCCGACGAUGGCAAGCGACGGCGAGAAGGCCUGGUACUUCUUCACCCUCCUGCCGGCCAAGAGCGCCCACGGCCAGCGGCGGCCGCGCACGGUGGGCACCGGGGAGGGGUGCUGGCACUCGGAGGCCGGCGUGAAGCCUGUUCUCGACGGCGACCAUCCGAUCGGAUGGCGACAGUUCUUCUCCUUCAUGACCAAGGAGGAAGGCCAGCGUGUCCGGAGCAUCCGGUCGGGAUGGAUCAUGGUUGAGAUCGGCCUCGACCAUGGCAAAGAAGAAGGCCCCUCGGACGAGCUCGUCCUGUGCAAGGUGUACCGCAGCCCGCGCGCCGGCCCGGUGGAACCCCCAGCGGCGGCUGGACGAAAGAGGAAAUCCGGCGACAACUACUCUGGCCCAGCGGCGCCCGUGCUGACGCUGGGGCCCGCGGCCGGUGCCAGGAAUUCUACGGCGGCGUCGGCAUCUUCCUCCGGGCACAAGAAGAGGAAGACCCACAGCAGGAACUCCAGUCCCGUGCUGAGGACCGCGCGCGGCGUCCUGAAGUUGACGAGGCCGGUGACGUCUGGGCGCAACAAGAACACCAGCGCGGACCGAUGCGCUCGCUGUGGGAUGGAGCCAGCGUUGUCGCGCCGCGGAACGCCCGAUGCUGCUGCCGAGGAGGAAGACGGCUCGGAGACGGAUCUUGACGAGGACGACCCAAUGACCGGCGAGUCCGGUGCACCCCAUUGCCACAAAGCAGGUGAAUCUUCAGGACGCGCCAGACCGUUCUACCAGUUCAAGAUUUGA